rnacentral:rRNA from 1 species
UGGGGAAUUUUGGACAACGGGCGAAAGCCUGAUCCAGCCAUGCCGCGUGCAGGAUGAAGGCCUUCGGGUUGUAAACUGCUUUUGUACGGAACGAAAAGACUCCUUCUAAUAAAGGGGGUCCAUGACGGUACCGUAAGAAUAAGCACCGGCUAACUACGUGCCAGCAGCCGCGGUAAUACGUAGGGUGCGAGCGUUAAUCGGAAUCACUGGGCGUAAAGCGUGCGCAGGCGGUUAUAUAAGACAGUUGUGAAAUCCCCGGGCUCAACCUGGGAACUGCAUCUGUGACUGUAUAGCUAGAGUACGGUAGAGGGGGAUGGAAUUCCGCGUGUAGCAGUGAAAUGCGUAGAUAUGCGGAGGAACACCGAUGGCGAAGGCAAUCCCCUGGACCUGUACUGACGCUCAUGCACGAAAGCGUGGGGAGCAAACA